rnacentral:misc_RNA from 3 species
GUGCCCGUCCACCGAACGGUCGGCAGGCGAUCCGCGUCGGUCGCGCUGGGUGGUAUGGUUCCCCAGAGGCCGGUUCUUGUGCUGCCUACCCCUUCAGGGGAAGAGUUCCAAACUCGAUGUAAGCCUCCAUCCGGCGCCCUCCAAAGGGCGCGGGAGGACAACGGAGCACCCCCCGCGUUCCACCGAGCCUCCUCGGUCGCGUGGCCCGCGGGGACGUGCGAUGCUCUCGGACCCAGCGAACGCCGUGGGCGAGGACUCACGUCCCGGUCCCAAGUGAAGCAACGGUAUAACGCACGACGGCCGCUCCCGCCCCCCGACCGCCCCGGCGGCGCGGGGGCGAAGGCGCGGCGUCGCUGAGGAAUGCU